rnacentral:lncRNA from 1 species
GCGAUCCCCAGGCUGCGGGGACGCGGCCACCCGGCCUCGGGGGCAGCAGCUGCGGGAGACGCAGGGCCCAAGCCCAGACCAAAGUCGCGGGAUUUUCCUAGAAGCUUUUUUUAUUUUUGUAAAGGAGAUAUCAGCAUAAAGAUCAGCGUUGUGGCCGCAGUCCAAGAAAAUCUUUUUUCUUUCCUAAAUCUGGAUUGUGAGGAAAGGCAAAAGUAUCUCCCCCACUCCCUCCUUUUACCAGGGUUUCCUUGUGAAACAAAGAAAGCCCGCGGAGGGAAUCUUAGAGGGCGAAGGUGCGCAGGUAGAGGUAGGAACGAGGCGCACUCGGGCGCAGGCAGCCCGUGCCUGGGAGCACACUCAGGAGAACACCGGACCGCCCCGCUGUCGGGAAAUCAGUUGCAGAGAACUGACACAGAUGGAGGAGAUGGCGGAGGAAGGGAAGAGCGCUUCCGGGACGGGACAGCAUGUAGGACCCAGGAGGGUAAGAAAGCAGCAUGGCGGUGGUGGAGGAAGUUGGCCGGAGAAUGGGGUGGAGGAGAACUCACCGCCCACACUGGGUUUGGGCUGCUCCUCCUCCCACGGGGCUCUCAGGGGCUGGUCUUUUCCUUGCCGACUCUGCAUCCGCUGUGUCUCAUUCGCCAGGUCCACAGGGAGUGGCCGGCUGUUGCCUGCAGAGCAGGAAGGGGAAGAAGCCAGACUCACUACGAUGGCAAAGGCUCCUGCGCUAGGCCUCAGGCCCUAGUCGUUCCUCCUGCCGCUUCCUCUGCCUCCGGGAAAUCCUUCCACUGUGCCAGUGCUCACGCUGGAGUCCGCCCAGUACCCUCUCCCUCACCUUCCGAUCCAGCUAGGCUCUGACGGCCUAGCCAUCUGCACCCUCCAUCUCCCACAUCGGCUCCUCUUCUCCGGGGCCCCUGCCCUGCACUAGUCCGGCCACCCUGGCCCCGGAGAGACCGACACACUGCAGGGGUCUAAGUUUGUCUUCUGCACCCACUCAGACCCCUCUAACCCCAUCACGUGGAGCCUCGCCUCAGCUGCCUUCCUAAACAGCUCCGGCUCUCUUGGAAUACACGCAUUGGUUUACAAUUUUAUAUGCACAGGUUCUUUGAUUAACAUGCCCAUUGCUUUUGCCUGAAACAAAUACAGAGGCUUCAGGUUAAUCCUGCAAACAGUUUCUCUUUGUACAUGUACAGGGAGAGUGACCUUUUUAAAUACUCGCACAUCAGGG